rnacentral:rRNA from 1 species
AUACGGAGGGUGCGAGCGUUAAUCGGAAUUACUGGGCGUAAAGGGCGCGUAGGUGGUUAGGUCAGUCGGAUGUGAAAGCCCCGGGCUCAACUCGGGAAUUGCAUUCGAUACUGCCUGGCUUGAGUAUGGUAGAGGGAAGUGGAAUUCCGGGUGUAGCGGUGAAAUGCGUAGAUAUCCGGAGGAACACCAGUGGCGAAGGCGGCUUCCUGGACCAAUACUGACACUGAGGCGCGAAAGCGUGGGGAGCAAACAGGAUUAGAUACCCCAGUAGUCC